AGUGGCGAACUGGUGAGUAACACGUGGGAAACCUGCCCAGAAGCGGGGGAUAACACCUGGAAACAGAUGCUAAUACCGCAUAACAACUUGGACCGCAUGGUCCGAGCUUGAAAGAUGGCUUCGGCUAUCACUUUUGGAUGGUCCCGCGGCGUAUUAGCUAGAUGGUGGGGUAACGGCUCACCAUGGCAAUGAUACGUAGCCGACCUGAGAGGGUAAUCGGCCACAUUGGGACUGAGACACGGCCCAAACUCCUACGGGAGGCAGCAGUAGGGAAUCUUCCACAAUGGACGAAAGUCUGAUGGAGCAACGCCGCGUGAGUGAAGAAGGGUUUCGGCUCGUAAAACUCUGUUGUUAAAGAAGAACAUAUCUGAGAGUAACUGUUCAGGUAUUGACGGUAUUUAACCAGAAAGCCACGGCUAACUACGUGCCAGCAGCCGCGGUAAUACGUAGGUGGCAAGCGUUGUCCGGAUUUAUUGGGCGUAAAGCGAGCGCAGGCGGUUUUUUAAGUCUGAUGUGAAAGCCUUCGGCUCAACCGAAGAAGUGCAUCGGAAACUGGGAAACUUGAGUGCAGAAGAGGACAGUGGAACUCCAUGUGUAGCGGUGAAAUGCGUAGAUAUAUGGAAGAACACCAGUGGCGAAGGCGGCUGUCUGGUCUGUAACUGACGCUGAGGCUCGAAAGUAUGGGUAGCAAACAGGAUUAGAUACCCUGGUAGUCCAUACCGUAAACGAUGAAUGCUAAGUGUUGGAGGGUUUCCGCCCUUCAGUGCUGCAGCUAACGCAUUAAGCAUUCCGCCUGGGGAGUACGGCCGCAAGGCUGAAACUCAAAGGAAUUGACGGGGGCCCGCACAAGCGGUGGAGCAUGUGGUUUAAUUCGAAGCUACGCGAAGAACCUUACCAGGUCUUGACAUACUAUGCAAAUCUAAGAGAUUAGACGUUCCCUUCGGGGACAUGGAUACAGGUGGUGCAUGGUUGUCGUCAGCUCGUGUCGUGAGAUGUUGGGUUAAGUCCCGCAACGAGCGCAACCCUUAUUAUCAGUUGCCAGCAUUAAGUUGGGCACUCUGGUGAGACUGCCGGUGACAAACCGGAGGAAGGUGGGGAUGACGUCAAAUCAUCAUGCCCCUUAUGACCUGGGCUACACACGUGCUACAAUGGAUGGUACAACGAGUUGCGAACUCGCGAGAGUAAGCUAAUCUCUUAAAGCCAUUCUCAGUUCGGAUUGUAGGCUGCAACUCGCCUACAUGAAGUCGGAAUCGCUAGUAAUCGCGGAUCAGCAUGCCGCGGUGAAUACGUUCCCGGGCCUUGUACACACCGCCCGUCACACCAUGAGAGUUUGUAACACCCAAAGUCGGUGGGGUAACCUUUUAGGAACCAGCCGCCUAA
rnacentral:rRNA from 1 species